rnacentral:rRNA from 1 species
UACGUAGGGUCCGAGCGUUGUCCGGAGUUACUGGGCGUAAAGCGCGCGCAGGCGGCCCGCGAGGUGUCACGUGAAAGCCCCGGGCUCAACUCGGGAGGGUCGUGGCAAACCGGCGGGCUUGAGGCCGGUAGAGGCGGGUGGAACUCCUGGUGGAGUGGUGAAAUGCGUAGAGAUCAGGAAGAACACCCGUGGCGAAGGCGGCCCACUGGGCCGGUGCUGACGCUGAGGCGCGAAGGCGUGGGGAGCGAACGGG